CCUACGGGUGGCAGCAGUGAGGAAUAUUGGUCAAUGGACGAGAGUCUGAACCAGCCAAGUAGCGUGAAGGAUGACUCCCCUAUGGGUUGUAAACUUCUUUUAUAUGGGAAUAAAAUUUUCCACGUGUGGGAUUUUGUAUGUACCAUAUGAAUAAGGAUCGGCUAACUCCGUGCCAGCAGCCGCGGUAAUACGGAGGAUCCGAGCGUUAUCCGGAUUUAUUGGGUUUAAAGGGAGCGUAGGUGGAUUGUUAAGUCAGUUGUGAAAGUUUGCGGCUCAACCGUAAAAUUGCAGUUGAAACUGGCAGUCUUGAGUACAGUAGAGGUGGGCGGAAUUCGUGGUGUAGCGGUGAAAUGCUUAGAUAUCACGAAGAACUCCGAUUGCGAAGGCAGUUCACUGGACUGCAACUGACACUGAGGCUCGAAAGUGUGGGUAUCAAACAGGAUUAGAUACCCGAGUAGUC
rnacentral:rRNA from 1 species